CGUUAUUUAAACCUUUUCUGGGUUGAAUCCAGCAAUACGGCAGAGGAUAUAUGAAGUCUUCAUUGCACGUAAAGUACUUCACGAUGAUUUUCUAUUUGGCAUUUGUUUCACUCCUUUGCCUUCCAUUGCAAAUUCAUUUGGAAAAGCUUGUUGUGGAAGUCGAUCAUACAACCCUUCUUUCUAUAUCUGCUGCAAUGGAGUAAUAAAUUGGAAAGGAUCGGGCACUAGUUGCUGUGGAACAAGAAGCUUUUUAAACCUUCUUUCUAUAUCUGCUGCAACAGAGUAAUAAAUUGGAAAGGAUCGGGCACGAGUUGCUGUGGAACUAAAGCUUUCAAUCCUUUUUCUAUAUUUGCUGCAAUGGGGUCAUAAACUGGAAAGGCUCGGGUACAAGUUGUUGUGGAACUAGAGCUUUCAAUCCCUCUUUUGCUCAUUGCUGCAAUGGAGUUAUUUGUUAGAGAAGUGGGUUCAUUUCUUAAUAAAAAGCAUAGGUUAA